AGAGUUUGAUCAUGGCUCAGGACGAACGCUGGCGGUGUGCUUCACACAUGCAAGUCGAACGAGGUAGCAAUACCUAGUGGCGGACGGGUGAGUAACGCGUGGGAAUCUGCCCAAGGGUGGGGGAUAACUAGCCGAAAGGUUAGCUAAUACCGCAUAUGCCGAGAGGUAAAAGGAGUAAUCCGCCUUUGGAUGAGCCCGCGUCCGAUUAGCUAGUUGGUAGGGUAAAAGCCUACCAAGGCUACGAUCGGUAGCUGGUCUGAGAGGAUGAUCAGCCACAAUGGGACUGAGACACGGCCCAUACUCCUACGGGAGGCAGCAGUGGGGAAUUUUACGCAAUGGGGGAAACCCUGACGUAGCGACACCGCGUGAACGAAGAAGCCCUUUGGGGUGUAAAGUUCUGUCGGCUGGAACGAAAAAAAUGACGGUACCAGCAAAGGAAGCAUCGGCUAACUACGUG
rnacentral:rRNA from 1 species